rnacentral:rRNA from 1 species
UACAGAGGUCCCAAGCGUUGUUCGGAUUCACUGGGCGUAAAGGGUGCGUAGGUGGUUAGGUAAGUCCGAUGUGAAAUCUCCAGGCUCAACCUGGAAAUGGCAUUGGAUACUAUUUAGCUUGAGGAGUGGAGGGGGGACUGGAAUUCUCGGUGUAGCAGUGAAAUGCGUAGAUAUCGAGAGGAACACCAGUGGCUAAGGCGAGUCCCUGGACACUUCCUGACACUGAGGCACGAAAGCUAGGUGAGCAAACAGG